GCAUCAACUGAUUAAAAAGGUUCAAACCGGAGAAUAUGGGUUCUGUCAGGAUUCAAGGACAGGAAGAACCAAAAGCGGAACCAGUCUCAAGAACCAAAAUUUAGGGAGAGAACUAUCUGCUCAAAUCUACCGUCAACUGGCACAGCCGUCCUCACAACAGGAGGAAAUCUUCCUAAUCUGCAGAAGGGCAGGCUUUUGAGUUCUAAACCCAUCGU